rnacentral:misc_RNA from 1 species
AACCAUUCUCACCUGCGGCUAGACCUGCGGAGGGAUCAUUACCGAGUUUACAAACUCCCAACCCUAUGUGAACCUUACCAAUCGUUGCUUCGGCGGGCUUAGCCCCCGCGCCCUCGCCGGCGCCGGGAGAAAGGCGCCCGCCGGGGACCCCAAACCCAAUGUUUUUCAUGCAGUAUUUCUGAGUGGCAAACGCAAAAAUAAAUCAAAACUUUUAACAAUGGAUCUCAGAUCGGAAGAGCA